rnacentral:lncRNA from 1 species
GCUCCACAUGCACACAUCUCAGCUGAACAGCAGCCCGUUACAAACACUUCUCGUUGACGGUGCAGAAAUGACAGAUGCAGGAAUGAACUCUCCAAGUUGUCUUGGAGCAGAAGCACUUUUUCUUUUGGCCUGACAAAGGCGUCUGUGAUGUUUAAUUCAUUAACGCGUAACAGGCAGAAGAUCUGGGGAGGAGCAGCCAUGGAAACAGUGGGUAUUUAGAGAAACGUUGGCACCCAGCGAAGGUUUGCUCCCCAAACAUUUGAAAACUACAGAUUUCACCAGCGUGAAAUCCCUCAUUUCCAUCUCCUCCUUAGCAUGAAGGCUGGAAAAGACCACUGGGAUCCCCGAAGCCAACCCCACGCCACCCCCGCUGACCGCAUCCCUCAGAGCCGUAUCUCCACGCUCCCUGAGCGCCUCGAGGGACGAUGACUCCCCGCCUCCCUGGGCUGCCCGUGCCAAUGCAUCACCGCUCCUUCAGAGAAGAAACCUUUCCUACUUCCCAAGCUGACGGCACAGGGCAGCCAGGUGCCAUCACUCGGCUCCCUGUGACGGUGCCAUCACUCCAGCGCUGCACGGAGGCAGCCGGCACGACGAGGGCAUCCGUCAGAAUAGCUGAGAACGCCGGGAUGGUGCCAGAGAGCUAAAUGGAGAGGCAGGGACUUUCAGCUUUUUAACACAAGGAUGAAUUUGGCCCCGUACGUUGCAAACACUGAGUCAUAAUCUUCCCCACGGCGGGUGGUUGGAACAAGGCUGCUUCCCAAAGGCCAGCCUGGUUCUCACACACUGCACCGUGCUGCACAUUGCUCCGGGCCGUCUGUCCUUUAGAUUCCCCUGUUUGCAUCGAGGUGAGGUGGCUGCAAACACAACAGUGCUUUCUCCUUGAGAAUCCCUCUGCUGUGCCACGGGUGCCCUCCCUUCCUAACAGAGUGCUUCCCAUGAGAACACAGCAGGCUCAAGGCCCCAUCAAACUCUCAGGCUCCAAAGGGGUAAAGAGACCGACAGGAUGGCACUAACCUCUGAAGAUGCACCCAACGCGAUAAAAGAAGCGCAGCCAUUGAAACGUCUCCCUUCAAUACGGUUAUUGUGUUGCUAGGUUUCCAUCCAGACACACAGCUGAAAAGAGCAAUCAAAGGAAGCUGAUGCUGCGGAUAAUAUCUUUA